UGGCGGGAAUCUCCGCGGGCGGUGGGCCCCACACGGCCUUUCCAGGCAUGCGCCGCCCGGCUGUUGGAACCCCGCGAGUAGGAGUAGAACUUGGCCACCUCUCCUGGGCGGUACUGAGCGGGACAAAGGUCUUUGGACUUGGGAGGACAGAGUUCAAAUACUGAGCACCAGUCAGUGCCUGAGGAGGGAGCGGAUGCAAGUGUGUUGUUUCAAAAAAUUGUUGAGUUCCUGUGUGGCCGAAUUUCAGCUACAAUCUCCCCUAAAAGAAAAACUAUUGAGGGCCAAUUGAAGUGCAAAAUUCAAUUUUGUGAGUGAAGACAAACUCAGGAAUCAUUCUUGACACAGACUUAAGCCGCUUAAGUCCAGUUCUUUUACAUCCCAAAUAGCUCCUUCCAUUUUCUCCACUACCUUCACCUAGAGGAAGCCACCAUCUCUCUCAAGUCUGUUUCAGGCCUCCAGGAGAAAGGCGGGGAAAUCUAUGAUUGCAUUCAGGCAAAUACUUAAGAGUGGGAAUUGCUGAGUUUUGUGGUGAACCAGAGGUUUCAGCUGCUCUGCAAAGUUCCUCAUGUCAUCAGAUACCAUGUCCUGCCCAGCUGGUGCAACAACACUUAAUUCCACAAGAAAGGAGAGUGACAAGGCCUCAGUGCUGUCUGUGUUCC